UAGGGGUGAGCAGAAUCCGGUUCAAACCGAAAAAACCGACCGAACCGAACCGAUUUGAAAAUUUGGUUCGGUUUUUUAUACAUUUCGGUUCGGUUCGAUUUUAAAUUUCAAAAAUUUUGGUUAUUUCAGUUCGGUUCGAUUUUGAUCAGAAAAAAACCGAAAAAACCGAACCGAACCGAUUAGAGAUAAUAAUAUGUUUUUUCA
rnacentral:lncRNA from 1 species